rnacentral:rRNA from 1 species
GUGGAUUAGAUACCCUGGUAGUCCACACCCUAAACGAUGAGUACUAGACGUUGAGCCUUUUAAGGCCCAGUGUCUGAGCUAACGCAUUAAGUACUCCACCUGGGAAGUACGAUCGCAAGGUUGAAACUCAAAGGAAUUGACGGGGGCCCGCACAAGCAGUGGAGCAUGUGGUUUAAUUCGAUGCAACGCGAAGAACCUUACCUAGGCUUGAAACGCAAGUUAAACCUGAUGAAAGUCAGGGUUCCGCAAGGAGAACGUGUACAGGUGCUGCAUGGCUGUCGUCAGCU